rnacentral:rRNA from 1 species
CCUGGUUGAUCCUGCCAGUAGUCAUAUGCUUGUCUCAAAGAUUAAGCCAUGCAUGUGUAAGUAUGAACUAUUUCAGACUGUGAAACUGCGAAUGGCUCAUUAAAUCAGUUAUAGUUUGUUUGAUAGUACGUGCUACUCGGAUAACCGUAGUAAUUCUAGAGCUAAUCGUUGCAACAAUCCCCGACUUCGGAAGGGAUGCAUUUAUUAGAUAAAAGGCUCGGCGUGGGCUUUGCCCAUUUGCUCCUAUGAUUCAUGAUAACUUUCGGACGGAUCACACGGCCCUCGUGCGGCGACGCAUCAUUCAAAUUUCUGCCCUAUCAACUUUCGAUGGUAGGAUAGGGGCCUACCAUGGUGGUGAAGGGUGACGGAGAAUUAGGGUUCGAUUAGGAGAGGAGCUCGAGAAACGGCUACCACAUCCAAGGAAGGCAGCGGCGGCAAUAAAUUACCCAUUCGACACGGGAGGUAGUCACAAUAAAUAACAAUACCGGGCUCUUGAGUCUGGUAAUUGGAAUGAGUACAAUCUAAAUCCCUUUAACGAGGAUCCAUUGGAGGACAAGUCCGGUGCCGGCGACGCUGUAAUUCCAGCUCAAUAGCGUAUAUUUAAGUUGUUGCAGUUAAAAAAGCUCGUAGUUGGACUUUGGGGCGGGGUCGGUCGGUCCGCCUCGGCGGUGUGCACCGGUCGUCCCCAUCCCCUCUGUCGGCGAUCGUGCCUGGCCAUAACUGGCGGGUCGGGUGCCUCCCGGCUAUUACUUUACUGAAGAAAUUAGAGUGCUCAAAGCAAGCCCAUGCUCUGGAUACAUUAGCAUGGGAUAACAUCACAGGAUUUCGGUCCUAUUGUGUUGGCCUUCGGGAUGAGUAAUGAUUAAGAGGGACGAUCAGGGGGGCAUUCGUAUUUCAUAGUCGAGGUGAAAUUCUUGGAUUUAUGAAAGACGAACCAUCUGAAAAGCAUUUGCCAAGGAUGUUUCCAUUAAUCAAGAACGAAAGUUGGGGGGGGCUCGAAGACAAUCGGAUACCGUCCUAGUCUCAACCAUAAACGAUGCCGACCGGGGGGAUGCGGAUGUUGCUCUUAGGACUCCGCCGGUACCUUAUGAGAAAUCAAAGUCUUUGGGUUCGGGGGGAGUAUGGUCGCAAGGCUGAAACUUAAAGGAAUUGAUGGAAGGGCACCACGGGGAGUGGAGCCUCGCGGCUUAAUUUGACUCAACACGGGAAACUUACCAGGUCCGGACAUAGCAAGGAUUGACAAACGAGAGCUCUUUCUUGAUUCUAUGGGUGGUGGUACAUGGCUGUUCUUAGUUGGUGGAGCGAUUUGUGCGGUUAAUUCCGAUAACUAACGAGACCCUCAGCCGCUAACUAGCUACUGCGGAGGCAUCCCUCAUGACCCGCCUUCUUAGAGGGACUAUGGCCGUUUAGGCCACGGAAGUUUGAGGCAAUAACAGGUCUGUGAUGCCCUUAGAUGUUACGGGCGCGCUGCGCUUAUGCGAUGUAUUCAACGAGUCUAUAGCCUUGGCCGACGGCGGGCCGGGUAAUCUUUGAAAAUUUCAUCAUGAUGGGGAUAGAUCAUUGCAAUUGUUGGUCUUCAACGAGGAAUUCCUAGUAAGCGCGAGUCAUCAUUUCGCGUUGACUACGUCCCUGCCCUUUGUACACACCGCCCGUCGCUCCUACCGAUUGAAUGGUCCGGUGAAGUGUUGGAUCGGGCGACGGGCGGUUCGUCGCCAGCGACGUCGCGGAGAAGUCCACUGAACCUUAUCAUUUAGAGGAAGGAGAAGUCGUAACAAGGUUUCCGUAGGUGAACCUACGGAAG